UACGGGAGGCAGCAGUGGGGAAUAUUGGACAAUGGGGGCAACCCUGAUCCAGCCAUGCCGCGUGUGUGAAGAAGGCUUUCGGGUUGUAAAGCACUUUCAGUGAGGAGGAAAACCUUAUGACUAAUACCCAUGAGGCUUGACGUUACUCACAGAAGAAGCACCGGCUAACUCCGUGCCAGCAGCCGCGGUAAU
rnacentral:rRNA from 1 species